rnacentral:rRNA from 1 species
UUGGUCAAUGGGUGCAAGCCUGAACCAGCCAUCCCGCGUGAAGGACGACUGCCCUCUGGGUUGUAAACUUCUUUUGUAUAGGGAUAAACCUACCCUCGUGAGGGUAGCUGAAGGUACUAUACGAAUAAGCACCGGCUAACUCCGUGCCAGCAGCCGCGGUAAUACGGAGGGUGCAAGCGUUAUCCGGCUUUAUUGGGUUUAAAGGGUCCGUAGGCGGACUUAUAAGUCAGUGGUGAAAGCCUGGCGCUUAACGAUAGAACUGCCAUUGNUACUGUAAGUCUUGAGUAUAUUUGAGGUAGCUGGAAUAAGUAGUGUAGCGGUGAAAUGCAGAGAUAUUACUUAGAACACCAAUUGCGAAGGCAGGUUACCAAGAUAUAACUGACGCUGAGGGACGAAAGCGUGG